rnacentral:rRNA from 1 species
CCUACGGGAGGCAGCAGUAAGGAAUAUUGGUCAAUGGACGCAAGUCUGAACCAGCCAUGCCGCGUGAAGGAUUAAGGCCCUCUGGGUUGUAAACUUCUUUUAUAGGGGACGAAAAAAGGGCAUUCUUGCUCACUUGACGGUACCCUAGGAAUAAGCACCGGCUAACUCCGUGCCAGCAGCCGCGGUAAUACGGAGGGUGCAAGCGUUAUCCGGAUUUACUGGGUUUAAAGGGUGCGUAGGUGGGUUGGUAAGUCAGUGGUGAAAUCUUCGAGCUUAACUCGGAAACUGCCAUUGAUACUAUCAAUCUUGAAUCAUCUAGAGGUAAGCGGAAUAUGUCAUGUAGCGGUGAAAUGCUUAGAUAUGACAUAGAACACCAAUUGCGAAGGCAGCUUACUAUGGAUGUAUUGACACUGAGGCACGAAAGCGUGGGGAUCAAACAGGAUUAGAUACCCUGGUAGUCCCGACGACCUAACGACGUAGUAUACUACGUACUAUUAGUUGUAUAUACUAAUAAGUAGUNUGAGCGAAGACAUUAAGUAUACCACCGUACGGUAAGGUACGACCGACGAGGUUAGUAACGUACGAACGAGUUAGUACGGCGUGAGACGUAGACCGACGGACGACGACGAGGGAGGAGG